GGAAAAGUAGUUUAAUUAGAACAUACUCUUGUCAGGUGUAAAGUACUAAUAUUUUAGUUUUUUCCU
rnacentral:tRNA from 1 species